rnacentral:ncRNA from 23 species
AGCAAAGUAGACAUUUGCGCGUUAAGUGUCCGAUGAACGGGGAGUUGUCAUCGGAACGAAGGGAAGUUUCUUCCUGCGGUGCAAAUGUUGCAUCCCGUUGCU